rnacentral:tRNA from 1 species
GGCUCAGUGGUUAAGAGCAUUGGCUGUCCUUCCAAAGGACCUGGGUUCAAUUCCCAG